UAGAGGUGUGGGAUGAGCCCGCGGCCUAUCAGCUUGUUGGUGGGGUGACGGCCUACCAAGGCGACGACGGGUAGCCGGCCUGAGAGGGUGUCCGGCCACACUGGGACUGAGAUACGGCCCAGACUCCUACGGGAGGCAGCAGUGGGGAAUAUUGCACAAUGGGCGCAAGCCUGAUGCAGCGACGCCGCGUGGGGGAUGACGGCCUUCGGGUUGUAAACCUCUUUCACCAUCGACGAAGGUCCGGGUUCUCUCGGAUUGACGGUAGGUGGAGAAGAAGCACCGGCCAACUACGUGCCAGCAGCCGCGGUAAUACGUAGGGUGCGAGCGUUGUCCGGAAUUACUGGGCGUAAAGAGCUCGUAGGUGGUUUGUCGCGUUGUUCGUGAAAUCUCACGGCUUAACUGUGAGCGUGCGGGCGAUACGGGCAGACUAGAGUACUGCAGGGGAGACUGGAAUUCCUGGUGUAGCGGUGGAAUGCGCAGAUAUCAGGAGGAACACCGGUGGCGAAGGCGGGUCUCUGGGCAGUAACUGACGCUGAGGAGCGAAAGCGUGGGGAGCGAACAGGAUUAGAUACCCUGGUAGUCCACGCCGUAAACGGUGGGUACUAGGUGUGGGUUUCCUUCCUUGGGAUCCGUGCCGUAGCUAACGCAUUAAGUACCCCGCCUGGGGAGUACGGCCGCAAGGCUAAAACUCAAAGGAAUUGACGGGGGCCCGCACAAGCGGCGGAGCAUGUGGAUUAAUUCGAUGCAACGCGAAGAACCUUACCUGGGUUUGACAUGCACAGGACGCGUCUAGAGAUAGGCGUUCCCUUGUGGCCUGUGUGCAGGUGGUGCAUGGCUGUCGUCAGCUCGUGUCGUGAGAUGUUGGGUUAAGUCCCGCAACGAGCGCAACCCUUGUCUCAUGUUGCCAGCACGUAAUGGUGGGGACUCGUGAGAGACUGCCGGGGUCAACUCGGAGGAAGGUGGGGAUGACGUCAAGUCAUCAUGCCCCUUAUGUCCAGGGCUUCACACAUGCUACAAUGGCCGGUACAAAGGGCUGCGAUGCCGCGAGGUUAAGCGAAUCCUUAAAAGCCGGUCUCAGUUCGG
rnacentral:rRNA from 1 species